UGACAUGCAUGUGUUGACAGUCCUGAAACAUUCACUGAGAGGGUAAACGCGGUCGACCUAGAAUGGCCAAUACCAAACAGAAUUUUAAGAACAGGUGGCCAGCUCCUGUGGGGCUUAAUCACAUAUUACUAUUCUUUUAAGAACAGAAAGUAACAUUAUUUUUGACUGAAGGAAAGUGAUGACAGUGAAAAACAUGGAAAUUUACUCAAAACAAGUAACUUUUUCUAUAACCUUCUUCCAAAGAAACUGCAUUUUCUAAGGAAUUAAAUGAUAACAGUGGCUAAGGCAUAGUUUCUAAACUUUCAGCCAGAUCCUGGGAUUCACAGAAAAAAAGAUAAUGAAUGGGGUCUGGACAUACAGCCUGAGAUCUUAAAACAAUGAUGAAAUUCACAACUUUCGAAGACGCCUGAGGGCAGUGAACGAGAUUUAUAUUCAAUGAGGAAGCCAUUUCAAUCAACAACUUCUGCUGUGUUAUUCUUCCAAGAUGAACCGAUACACAACCAUGGGACAGUUGGGGGACGGCGCCUAUAGGAGUGUGCUUAUGGCCAAGAAUAACGAGUCCGGGGAGCUGGUGGCUAUCAAAAGGAUGAAGAGAAAGUUCUAUUCUUGGGAUGAAUGUAUGAACUUGAGAUAAGUUAAGUCUCUGAGAAAACUUAAUCAUCCUAAUGUUAUUAAAUUGAAAGAAGUUAUCAGAGAAAAUGACCACUUUUAUUUCAUAUUUGAAUAUAUGAAAGAAAACCUCUAUCAAUUAAUGAAAGACAGAAACAACUUGUUCCCUGAGUCAGUCAUCAGAAAUAUUAUCUAUCAGAUAUUGCAAGGGCUGGCUUUUAUCCAUAAACAUGGGUUUUUUCAUAGGGACUUGAAAUUAGAAAACUUGCUUUGUAUGGGUCCAGAACUUGUGAAAAUUGCUGAUUUUGGACUUGCAAGAGAAUUAAGGUCACAGCCACUGUACACUGAUUAUGUCUCUACUAGAUAGUAUCAUGCCCCUGAAGUUUUGCUGAGAUCUUCUGUGUAUAGCUCUCCCAUUGAUGUGUGGGCUGUUGGAAUUAUCAUGGCUGAACUCUAUAUGUUUUCCCAGGGAAAAGAGAGAUGGAUGAAAUCUUUAAAAUUUGCCAAGUUUUAGGGACUCCGAAAAAGAGCAACUUGGCCAGAAGAAUACCAGCUGGCACCUUCUAUGAACUUUCGUUUUCCCCAGUGUGUUCCUAUAAACUUAAAAACUCUGAUUCCCAAUGCCAGUAAUGAAGCUAUUCAGCUCAUGACUGAAAUGUUGAAUUGGGAUCCAAUGAAACGACCAAGAGCAAGCCGGGCAUUGAAACACCCAUAUUUUCAAGUUGGUCAGGUAUUAGGCCAUUUCUCAAAUCAUCUGGAAUCAAAACAGUCUUUAAAUAAGCAGCUCCAACCAUUAGAAUCAAAGCCAUCUUUAGUUGAAGUAGAGCCCAAGCCUCUACCAGAUGUAAUUAGUUAGACUGUUGGACAAUCCCAGUCAAAAACUAGCCAGAAGCCACUGCAGCCCAUUUCGGCCGCCACAGAACCUGAACGUCCAGCAACCACCAAAGCAACAGAAUCAGCAGAAACCGCCGCAAACACAAUUCCCAAACAUCAUCAAAAACAUGCCAACUAAGCCAAAUGGUACACUGAAUCAUAAAAGUGGUAGGAGGUGUUGGGGCCAGACUAUCUUCAAAUCUGGAGAAAGCUGGGAAGAGUUGGAGGACUAUGAUUUCGGAGCCUCCCAUUCCAAGAAGCCAAGCAUGAGUGUUUUUAAAGAAAAAAGGAAGAAAGAUUCUCCAUUUCGGCUUCCAGAACUGGCACCCUCGGGCUCCAACCACUUGCUAGGGGAAAACAAGAGCUUACCUGCUGUUAUUUCCCUAAAGUCUGAUUCCGAAUUGUCAACUGCCCCAGCCUCUAAACAGUACUGCUUGAAACAAUCAAGAUAUCUUCUAGGUGUGAAUCCCAAGAACGUGUCCUUGAUAGCCAGUGGAAAGGAAAUAAACCUCCACACGUGGAGCAAUCAGUUAUUCCCUAAGUCACUGGGAUCUGUCAGGGCAGAACUUGCUUUCAAAAAGAGCAAUGCAGAAGAAAGCAUAAUUAAACCAAUUGAAAAGCCAUCAUGCAAUGAAACUUUUCCUGAAAAAUCAGAGGACUCACAAAGUAAUUUCUGGGCAUCAGAUUAAUGCAAUUUGUUCUUUGAAUCUCUGGUCUAAUUUUCUUCUCAACAUUUGCCCCUGAUCCUGACAUAAAAGGCCAAGAUGAUCUGCUUUUAGAAGUCAAGUCUGGACUAGGAUACAGAAAAGCAUCCUCUCUCAUCAGGAAUAUCUUUCUUCAGUAGUUUAUAUUCUAAGAUAAAUUUGCCUCAAAAAGUAAAAAAAAAAAAAAAAAAAUUCACAACUUUCUCAGA